AUCCUGGCUCAGGACGAACGCUGGCGGCGUGCCUAAUACAUGCAAGUCGAGCGGACAGAAGGGAGCUUGCUCCCGGAUGUUAGCGGCGGACGGGUGAGUAACACGUGGGUAACCUGCCUGUAAGACAGAGAUAACUCCGGGAAACCGGAGCUAAUACCGGAUAGUUCCUUGAACCGCAUGGUUCAAGGAUGAAAGACGGUUUCGGCUGUCACUUACAGAUGGACCCGCGGCGCAUUAGCUAGUUGGUGAGGUAACGGCUCACCAAGGCGACGAUGCGUAGCCGACCUGAGAGGGUGAUCGGCCACACUGGGACUGAGACACGGCCCAGACUCCUACGGGAGGCAGCAGUAGGGAAUCUUCCGCAAUGGACGAAAGUCUGACGGAGCAACGCCGCGUGAGUGAUGAAGGUUUUCGGAUCGUAAAGCUCUGUUGUUAGGGAA
rnacentral:rRNA from 1 species